AGUUUCUUACAACUAAUCGCUCAGUGUCACCAGCACACCUCACUGAGGGGGAAACUGUCCACCAGCACGCUGCAUCCAGCCCUGCUCUGUGAGACCACCUCAUUCCCAUUCAGUCUCUUUGUUGGCCAGGAGUCCAUAAUGCAAAUAAUUUCCCGCAUCUUCACUCUUCAUCUUCUCACCCUCUUCUGGACAACUCCUGACAUUCUGUGAUAUUCAGCAUUCACCAUAAACAUUGCAUGAUUCAGUUCUCCUUGAUAUCUUGGUGCUUGGACUCUUCACUGUUGGCAUCAUUAGGUCAGCAGGUGAACACUCAGGAUUGUUCCUCUUCUGUUAGUAGAGCACCAAAAGACAGGGUCUGGCUCUGUCACCUAAGCCAGAGUGCAAUGGUACAAUCACCAUUGACUGCAGUCUCAAAUUCCUGGGCUCAAGCAAUCCUCCCGCCUCAGCUUCCCAAGCAGCUGGGACUACAGGCAUGCACCACCAUGUCCAGCAUACCAAGGAGACAGAGAAUGCUGUGAACUUCAGUUUAUAUGUAACAGUCAAUGAAUACAUGAGGCCACCAGACUCAGCUUCUGAGCCCAAGUCAGACCUGAUACUCAAUGGAGGUGACGUGGAAAAGAGAGUGCAGCCAGGUCCCACCGAGGGGCAGAUCACAGGGAAUGGUGUCUGGACCCAGAGAAUAACUGAAUCUUCAAGGAAGGAAGAGAAAUCUUUAGAAGAACAUGGAUUUUCCCCACUGGUAGUUAGUUGUCUCUUCCAUAUCCAGAAAUAACUUGAACACGUCAGACGGGGCCACUCUGCGUAGUGUCCUCCCAGGAAAACGCCAAGAUUCUCCAAGACACUUUCGUAUCCUAAGCCCUGUUCUGUUUGUUCUUGUGUAGUAAAUUGGCAAAUUUGGCAGUACAGAAGACAUCUCUAACCUGAUGUCACAAAGAAUCAUGUCUGGCCCAUACAGAGUAUUCUAACUAACCAUGUAAGCCACUAGAAUGUUAAACUAAUGCUCUGGCACUGAGGUGGGUAUCUUGAGCAUUUGUGACUUUACAGUUUAUUAUCUGUAUUGGUUAAAAUAUAUAUGAACAUAUGCUAAUAUCACAUUAAUGAAUUCUGUAAAAGGUUAUUUUAAGACACUCUGUAUUUAGAAAAAUACCUAUACCAAAACUGCUAAUAGUGGAAUUAGUAAUAAAGGUAAGUGUGAGAAAUUUUGUUUUUUAUAUUUCAUAUGGUUUGAAAUUGUUAUUACAAUACAUAUGACUUUUGUGACUACAGACAAAACUUGAAGACAUUGUGUGUGUGUGUGUGUGUGAAGCCAUUCUUGCAUUACUCUAAAUAAAUACCUGAGACUGGGUAAUAAGAAAAGAUGUUUAAUUGGCUCACAGUUCUGCAGGCUCUAUAGGGAACAGAGUGGCAUGUGCUCCUAGGGGGGCCUCAGGAGCUUCCAAUCAUGGCAGAAGGCAAAGGGGGAGCACUCUGGCACAUCACAUGGCAAAAGCAGCAGUAAGAGGGAGCGGGGAGAUGCCACACAACUUUAAAGCACCAAAUCUCACAAGAACAGCACCAAGAGGAUGGUGCUAAACCAUUCGUGAGAAAUUCACCCCUAUGAUUCAAUUUCCUCCCACUAGGCCCCAUUUCCAACAUGGGGGAUUACAAUUUGACAUGAGAUUUAGAGAGGACACCUAUCCAAAUUAUAUCACAUUGAAAAUAUAUACAUCAUGUACUAUGCCGAGUUAAACAUUACUCUCACACACACACACACACAUCCUUGUUCAUGAAGAUAGUAUUUGAUGCUGUGACAAAGAGAAAGAGAAAGAGAGAAAGCAGGCACAGGUGAGCAGGUGCUCUUGACACACCUGAGCUUGGAUAAGAUGACAGCAUCGACAAGGAAAAAGCUGAUGAAAAGGCCAGGGAGUUGAGGGCAAGGUGCUUCCAUACAAAGUGGUGUUUUUGUCUUAGCAAUUUCAACUCUUUAUUCAAACCCUUCUUACUAAGUGGUGGCUUCCAUUCUACUUUACAUACUUUACAGAAAGUCUUAGUCCUUUUUGUCUCAAUAUUCCCAGUCCUCUCGUUUUCACAGUGCUCUGUAAUUACUGGUUAAUAAACAUUGAAGGUGGUUUCAUUAGGCCAACUGUAUUGCUACAGCCUGGCUUUUGGCCAGUAAUAAAAAGGGCUUUGGCAUGUAUUUCACUCCUUCCCAAUAUACACAUGCAUGCACACACACACAUACACAUGCACAUGCAACUUGAAAAUGAUCUGAAUGUAAGACAAGUUUUGAAAUUUAUUCAAUACACCACAUGAAAGACUAAUUACACAUUUUAAAGUAAAAUCUCCUAGGUGUAAUUUGAGUUCAUCCUUCUCCUGAGCAUGUCUCUUUUCAAGUACAGGCGGUCAGCACAGAACUCAGACACUUGACUUGACUUCAAAUGAUGUCACCUUCUUGGCCCGGUACCUCUGACUGUUUUCCUGACGGCAGCUCAAACAAAUGUCAGGCAGAUCUAAAAUCAGAAAAGGGGAAAAUGGUUGUGUGGAAUCAACUGCAUCAACCUAGAUUUAUUACAAAGCAACUCUGGGCAGAAUGCAGUAAAGGCUGAAGAAUCUGAAAAAGCUCAAGAUACUUCCAAAGUUACAGUGUUUAUUUGAAUUCUUAAUUCAAUUCACUAAUCCAGUUUCCAUGUUUACAGUUUAUGUUCUUGGCUAACUUGAUAGACAAAAUGGUAUCUCAUUGUUUUUAGGUGGCAUUUCUUUGAUUACUGGUGAAGAUAAGCAUUUUAAAAUACAUUGUAUUGUUAUUUGUAUUUAUUUUGUGUUAAUUGUCUAUUUGUGUAUUUUGCCCAUUGUCUUUUGAGAUAUGAGUGUUUUCCUUAUUAGAAUGUAACAUUACUUCAUAUAUUAAGGAUGUUGACCUUUUGUUUGCUAUAUCCAUCAUAUUUUUUUUUGGUUUGACAUUUAUCUUUUAGUUUUGUUUAUGAUUUUGCUGACUUCCAAAUGUUUGCAUUUUAAUGCAGAAAUAUCUAUCAAUCUUCUCCUUUGGAAUAUAAUCUAUUGCUUUUUUUGUGCAUAGUAAAGCCUUCACCACUCUGAAAUCAGAUAAAUGUUUAUCAAUAUUUUCUUUCAGUUUUUGACUUUUUUUUCAAUUGCUUAUUUCCUUUCCUCCAUAGUAAGACCCUUGGAUUCCAACUAUAGAUAAUAAUAGGAAGUAUCAUAAUUAUUUAUUUGCUUUAUUCAAAAAUACAUAUACAAUACUCCUGAAAUACAAAUAUUAAUACUAUCAGUCCCCAUAUGAUUAUUGAAAACAGUCUGAAAUAUUUUUGAAUAUGCCCUCUUCAUUAUCUCUCAGUUUUUAAAUAGUUAUUAUCUAUAUUGACAUAGUGUAAAGCUGUUACAUACUCUACUUUCUCUCUCUCUUUCAAUUUUUAUUUUAGAUUCAGGGGGUACAUGGGCAGGUUUGUUACCUAGGUAUUUUGUGUGAUGCUGAGGUUUGGAGUAUGAAUGAUCUCAUCACCCAGGUACUGAGCAUAGUAUCCAACAGUUAGUUUUUCAAUCCUUGUCCCCCUCUCUCCCUUCCCCUGAGUAGUCCCCCGUGUCUAUUGUUGCCAUCUUUAUAGCCAUCAGUAUCCAAUGUUUAGCUCCCCAGUUUUUGACUUUUGGAAUUUAACCCUUUAAUCUUUCCACAUUGCAUUUUGGACUAUAGCAUGAGAGAAAAUCUAAAUAAAUAAUUUUCCC